GUGCUCGCUUUGGUAGUACAUAUACCAAAAUUGGAACAAUACAGAGAAGAUUAGCAUGGCCUCUGAGCAAGGAUGACACACAAAUUCGUGAAGCAGUGAAGCAUUAA
rnacentral:snRNA from 1 species